CACUCAGACCGACAGACAGACAGACACUCAGACAAACAUUCCAACAGACUCUCACUCAGACAAAUAGACACUGAGACAUAGUGCACCUUUAAAUGUGAGACCAUCACUCAUAAAGGGGAGGCGCGUGCUGACCAUCUAAAAGAUGAUGCCGCUAAUCAAAGCGUCAGGAACAGGGAGACCCUUUUUGGACAUGGGUAUCUGGAAGCCCAGAAAGGCUUUUCGUAAGAGUUAGUAAGGCAACACCUGUAGGUGAAGUCAUUUGAGAGGUUCUAAUGACAGUAUAUCUGUAGGUGGAGUCAUUUGAGAGGUUCUAAUGACAGUAUAUCUGUAGGUAGACUGGUAGGGGUCAAAGAGAGGCUGGGAUGUGCUGCUGGACCAACCGCUCAAAGCACUUGGUGGUCUGGUGGAAGUGCCACAGGGUGAUUGUGAUCACUCAUGUGAAUAGUUGAUAAUGACCAUCUGAUCCUUCUAGAAGGUUCCGCAGGCCUCUGCUGUAUCUAAGAGGCUGAUAACCACUGAUUACGCCCAUACAAUCGGGUGAUAACCACUGAUAACGCCCAUAAAAUUGGGUGAUAAGGUUGGAAGCGAGCUAUGCGACCCCAAGAUACAUUCUGGUUCAUGCUGUUGGUGUUUUACUGGCAACAAUAAAACAAUUUUGCACCAAA